CGCCCCCGGUUGGGAUCAAACCACCAGCCUUUCGGUUAACUGUCGAACGCGCUAGCUCAUUGCGCCACGGAGGU